AGAAUGAACGCUGGCGGCAUGCCUAACACAUGCAAGUCGAACGAAGGCUUCGGCCUUAGUGGCGCACGGGUGCGUAACGCGUGGGAAUCUGCCCUUGGGUUCGGAAUAACAGCUAGAAAUGGCUGCUAAUACCGGAUGAUGACGUAAGUCCAAAGAUUUAUCGCCCAGGGAUGAGCCCGCGUAGGAUUAGCUAGUUGGUGGGGUAAAGGCUCACCAAGGCGACGAUCCUUAGCUGGUCUGAGAGGAUGAUCAGCCACACUGGGACUGAGACACGGCCCAGACUCCUACGGGAGGCAGCAGUGGGGAAUAUUGGACAAUGGGCGCAAGCCUGAUCCAGCAAUGCCGCGUGAGUGAUGAAGGCCUUAGGGUUGUAAAGCUCUUUUACCCGGAUGAUAAUGACAGUACCGGGAGAAUAAGCUCCGGCUAACUCCGUGCCAGCAGCCGC
rnacentral:rRNA from 1 species